rnacentral:lncRNA from 1 species
GCUGUGUUCUCGAUCGUCUGAUGGCUGAAACAGGUUGUGGCGACUCAUUUGCUGUACGGGAGAAUUGCUAUUAUUCUUUGUGCAAACGGGCUUAGGGCCCAUUUGGCCUAGCUUAUGAAAAAGUGAUUUCUGAAAAAGUGAUUUUGCUUUGAAAAAGUGAUUUUGGUUAAAAGUUGUAAAAUAUUUGGCCGAGUUUGGAUAAAUGCAAUUUAUCUGAUGUGAUAUUGGAAAACAGUUUGGCAAAAUUUUUUUAAUGUUUGCAUAAAUUAAUAUUUUUAUUAAAUUUUAUUUUAAGAUAAUUUAAAAUUAAAAUUAAAAUUAAAAUUUAAAUUUGAAUUAAAAGUAAAAUUUUUAAAUUUAAAAAUUAUAACAAAUUUAAAUUUGAUAUUUUAAUUUAAAAAAUAAUUUAAAAUAUUAAAA